CAGAACAACUGGAUUGGUUUAUUCAGCAGAUAAAUCUUGUCUUGCUGCAAAAGAAAACCUCAAGGUUCCUCUUUUUGGCUAUCGAGAAAGAAAGAGAAAUUGAGAGAAAUGUCCGGCAUGGAGAGACUGCAGAGAAUGUUUGCCGGUGCAGGAGGUGCUUUAGGUCACCCACCCCCCGAUUCUCCAACUCUUGAUUCAUCGGAGCAGGUCUACAUCUCCUCUCUCGCCCCUCUCGCCCUCCUCAAAAUGCUCAAACACGGAAGAGCUGGAGUCCCCAUGGAAGUGAUGGGCUUAAUGCUUGGAGAGUUUGUGGAUGAAUACACUGUUCGUGUCGUUGAUGUCUUUGCAAUGCCUCAAAGUGGUACUGG
rnacentral:misc_RNA from 1 species